GAUGAACGCUAGCGGCAGGCCUAACACAUGCAAGUCGAGGGGUAUAGUUCUUCGGAACUAGAGACCGGCGCACGGGUGCGUAACGCGUAUGCAAUCUACCUUUUACAGGGGAAUAGCCCAGAGAAAUUUGGAUUAAUGCCCCAUAGUGUUAUAGAAUCGCAUGGUUUUAUAACUAAAGUUCCAACGGUAAAAGAUGAGCAUGCGUCCCAUUAGUUAGUUGGUAAGGUAACGGCUUACCAAGACAAUGAUGGGUAGGGGUCCUGAGAGGGAGAUCCCCCACACUGGUACUGAGACACGGACCAGACUCCUACGGGAGGCAGCAGUGAGGAAUAUUGGACAAUGGGCGCAAGCCUGAUCCAGCCAUGCCGCGUGCAGGAAGACGGUCCUAUGGAUUGUAAACUGCUUUUGUACAGGAAGAAACACUCCCUCGUGAGGGAGCUUGACGGUACUGUAAGAAUAAGGAUCGGCUAACUCCGUGCCAGCAGCCGCGGUAAAGUACAGUGU
rnacentral:rRNA from 1 species